rnacentral:rRNA from 1 species
ACUUUUGGAGAUGUCAGGCUGUCCUUCUAAUUCAGAUGUACCAGGUCUUGUUUGAUUGUGAAGGCCAAGCAGUCCUGGAUCUAGCUACUACUUGGAUGGUAGACCACCUUGGAGUACUAAGCUCUGUAGAUA